rnacentral:rRNA from 1 species
GACGAACGCUGGCGGCGUGCUUAACACAUGCAAGUCGAACGAUGAACCCGGAGCUUGCUCCGGUGGAUUAGUGGCGAACGGGUGAGUAACACGUGAGUAACCUGCCCUUGACUCUGGGAUAACUGCGGGAAACUGUAGCUAAUACCGGAUACGACCCUCGGCGGCAUCGCCAGGGGGUGGGAAGAAUUUCGGGCAAGGAUGGACUCGCGGCCUAUCAGCUAGUUGGUGAGGUAACGGCUCACCAAGGCGACGACGGGUAGCCGGCCUGAGAGGGUGACCGGCCACACUGGGACUGAGACACGGCCCAGACUCCUACGGGAGGCAGCAGUGGGGAAUAUUGCACAAUGGGCGCAAGCCUGAUGCAGCAACGCCGCGUGAGGGAUGACGGCCUUCGGGUUGUAAACCGCUUUUGUCAGGGAAGAAACGGCUUUCUCUAAUACAGAGGGCUAAUGACGGUACCUGAAGAAUAAGCACCGGCUAACUAC